rnacentral:lncRNA from 1 species
CAGUGAUUAUGAUUCUUCCAUCUUAGACAGCAGGAGUAGUAGAAAACAGGCUCAUGGAUUCCCAAGCUCCAGGACUCAGCAGGAUUCCAUGUUCCUGAGUUGGUGUUUUAAAGAACAUGAGGGAACUGCAAGAAAGAUCUGGCUCCCAUCUGAGCGGGAGAGCAAGUCAUCCCCUGAGACUUCUAGUGACAAAGCUCCAUUCCCAUAUUUUCAGAAGAAGGCACUAAAUAAACUUUCUGAUUCAGUAGCCAGAACACCUGGUGCCAUCUGGAGUCUACUCAAAUCAUGGAAAAACAGAAUGGUACUGUAUACCCAAUGGGAACAACAGAUUACCAGGCUCCCUGUGUCUGAAGAAUCAUCUUCUGCCUGAAAGUAUCUUCCCACCUCCUCAAUUUCUCCUCAGGUUCUUUCCUCCUGCUGGAAG